UACGUAGGGACCAAGCGUUGUUCGGAUUUACUGGGCGUAAAGGGCGCGUAGGUGGCCCGGUCAGUCCGUGGUGAAAGCGCGGGGCUCAACCCCGCGUCGGCCAUGGAUACUGCUGGGCUGGAGCACUGUAGAGGCAGGCGGAAUUCCGGGUGUAGCGGUGGAAUGCGUAGAGAUCCGGAAGAACACCGGUGGCGAAGGCGGCCUGCUGGGCAGUUGCUGACACUGAGGCGCGACAGCGUGGGGAGCAAACAGG
rnacentral:rRNA from 1 species